GAUGGAGGGGGAUAACUACUGGAAACGGUGGCUAAUACCGCAUAACGUCGCAAGACCAAAGAGGGGGACCUUCGGGCCUCUUGCCAUCAGAUGUGCCCAGAUGGGAUUAGCUUGUUGGUGAGGUAACGGCUCACCAAGGCGACGAUCCCUAGCUGGUCUGAGAGGAUGACCAGCCACACUGGAACUGAGACACGGUCCAGACUCCUACGGGAGGCAGCAGUGGGGAAUAUUGCACAAUGGGCGCAAGCCUGAUGCAGCCAUGCCGCGUGUAUGAAGAAGGCCUUCGGGUUGUAAAGUACUUUCAGCGGGGAGGAAGGUGUUGUGGUUAAUAACCGCAGCAAUUGACGUUACCCGCAGAAGAAGCACCGGCUAACUCCGUGCCAGCAGCCGCGGUAAUACGGAGGGUGCAAGCGUUAAUCGGAAUUACUGGGCGUAAAGCGCACGCAGGCGGUCUGUCAAGUCGGAUGUGAAAUCCCCGGGCUCAACCUGGGAACUGCAUUCGAAACUGGCAGGCUUGAGUCUUGUAGAGGGGGGUAGAAUUCCAGGUGUAGCGGUGAAAUGCGUAGAGAUCUGGAGGAAUACCGGUGGCGAAGGCGGCCCCCUGGACAAAGACUGACGCUCAGGUGCGAAAGCGUGGGGAGCAAACAGGAUUAGAUACCCUGGUAGUCCACGCCGUAAACGAUGUCUACUUGGAGGUUGUGCCCUUGAGGCGUGGCUUCCGGAGCUAACGCGUUAAGUAGACCGCCUGGGGAGUACGGCCGCAAGGUUAAAACUCAAAUGAAUUGACGGGGGCCCGCACAAGCGGUGGAGCAUGUGGUUUAAUUCGAUGCAACGCGAAGAACCUUACCUGGUCUUGACAUCCACGGAAGUUUUCAGAGAUGAGAAUGUGCCUUCGGGAACCGUGAGACAGGUGCUGCAUGGCUGUCGUCAGCUCGUGUUGUGAAAUGUUGGGUUAAGUCCCGCAACGAGCGCAACCCUUAUCCUUUGUUGCCAGCGGUCCGGCCGGGAACUCAAAGGAGACUGCCAGUGAUAAACUGGAGGAAGGUGGGGAUGACGUCAAGUCAUCAUGGCCCUUACGACCAGGGCUACACACGUGCUACAAUGGCGCAUACAAAGAGAAGCGACCUCGCGAGAGCAAGCGGACCUCAUAAAGUGCGUCGUAGUCCGGAUUGGAGUCUGCAACUCGACUCCAUGAAGUCGGAAUCGCUAGUAAUCGUGGAUCAGAAUGCCACGGUGAAUACGUUCCCGGGCCUUGUACACACCGCCCGUCACACCAUGGGAGUGGGUUGCAAAAGAAGUAGGUAGCUUAACCUUCGGGAGGGCGCUUACCACUUUGUGAUUCAUGACUGGGGUGAAGUCGUAACAAGGUAACCGUAGGGGAACCUGCGGUUGGAUCACCUCCUUACCUUAAAGAAGC
rnacentral:rRNA from 1 species